GGCCGACUAGCUCAGUUGGUUAGAGCGUCGUGCUAAUACUUUAUAUUAACGCAAAGGUUUUGGGUUCGAUCCCCACGUUGGCCA